GUGCCCGUAGCUCAAUGGAUAGAGCGCCAGACUUCGAAUCUGUAGGCUGCAGGUUCGAAUCCUGCCGGGCACA
rnacentral:tRNA from 1 species